rnacentral:lncRNA from 1 species
AAGUUGUGGAAACAUCAUCUGGAGCAUUAGGAUAUGGCGUGACACAUUCAAAGGCUCAACAUUUAGUCAUUUAGAUUCUAAUUAAAGUUGUAAUUUCGUUUUCUAGAAGUCCUUAAUUAGAAUUAGGUGUUUUGGACCCUUUUAAGGGCAAUUUUGUAAAAACAUCCAUGUGUAGGACAUGUGGCUUUUAGCUAGGGUUUCAUUAGAAGGUGGUCCCCACCAUUUUUAGAGUCUUGGAUGAUCUUUAGAGGGGAGAAUGCCGAGACACACUCUUGGGCUCCCAUAGCCACACUUCAUACUUCAUGUUUUUAAACUUUUCUCUCCUAGGGUUUCAUGGAUGAACAUGCCUUAAGGGAGCUUGCUUGGUAUUUCGGUUUUGGGCCAUUUGAAUGAAAAAAGUUGCAGAUUUUCUUUGUCUCUUAACUUACUCUUGGUUGUCUUAGCUUGUUGGUGGUGAAAAACCAUUCAUUUCUACUUCUAUUUGCUUGUUUUUUAUGCUUGGAGCUUGAGUUUUGGAGCUUGUCUUUGCAUUUCCAUGGUGGAUGUUGAGUUUGAGUAACUUUAUAUUUCGUUUUCCUCUCCCUUUGCUGCUAUUCCUCACGUUUUUCUUUGCAUUUUAUUGGGUUGGAUGAUAAAAAUGGAGUUCCAUGUGAGUUUUGGGUUGAAAAGAGCUUAACUUGAUGUGUGGGUGUUGUGGUUUGGGCUCUUUCUUCUUGUUUUUCGGUUUGGAUGUUUGAAGCAAGGAUGGAACCUGAUUUUGGGGUUGUUAUUGUGGCUGGAAAGAGAUGGAAUUGAUAGCUUGGUGUUCAUUUUCGUUUUUGAAAAGAAACUUGAAGAAAUGGUAGUGUUAAAGUUGGGUUGAUGAGUAGAAG